rnacentral:tRNA from 1 species
AACUAAUGAACUUGUUAUAAGUAUAUACUUUGAAAGUAUAAGAAAGAGAUAAAAUUCUCUAUUAGUUU